rnacentral:tRNA from 1 species
UGGCUCAGAUGGUAAAGCAUCUGCCUACAAUACAGGAGACCCAGGUUCAAUCCCUGG